UACGUAGGGUGCAAGCGUUAAUCGGAAUUACUGGGCGUAAAGCGUGCGCAGGCGGUUGUGCAAGACAGAGGUGAAAUCCCCGGGCUUAACCUGGGAAUGGCCUUUGUGACUGCACGGCUAGAGUGUGUCAGAGGGGGGUAGAAUUCCACGUGUAGCAGUGAAAUGCGUAGAGAUGUGGAGGAAUACCGAUGGCGAAGGCAGCCUCCUGGGCCAGCACUGACGCUCAUGCACGAAAGCGUGGGGAGCAAACAGG
rnacentral:rRNA from 1 species